rnacentral:rRNA from 1 species
UGUGAUGCCCUUAGAUGUUUUGGGCCGCACGCGCGUUACACUGAUGCAUUCAACGAGUACUACCUUGGCCGANAGGCCUGGGCAAUCUUUUAAACGUGCAUCGUGAUAGGGAUAGAUUAUUGCAAUUAUUAAUCUUGAACGAGGAAUUCCUAGUAAACGCAAAUCAUCAAUUUGCAUUGAUUACGUCCCUGCCCUUUGUACACACCGCCCGUCGCACCUACCGAUUGGAUGAUCCGGUGAAGCCUCGGGAUUGUGACCAGUUUCCUUUAUUGGGAGUUGGUUGCGAGAACUUGUNUAAACCUUAUCAUCUAGAGGAAGGAGAAGUCGUAACAAGGUUUCC